rnacentral:lncRNA from 1 species
GGCUGAUACAUUUUAUGUCUCUAAGAUAUGAUUUUGUACUUAUUGAGUAGUUAUAUUAUUAUUUAUGCUUAUGUGUCUAUGAAUCAUUCAAGGGAUUAACAAGAUGAUGACAUAUAUUCUCAAAGAGUUAAGAAUUUGAGGCAUGUGUCAUUGAUGCUUAAUUCUUAAAUUGCUCCUGAUCAUAAGAUCAUCAUGGAGAUGGUGAUUGAUCCA